rnacentral:rRNA from 1 species
GACGAACGCUGGCGGCGUGCUUAACACAUGCAAGUCGUACGGUAAGGCCCUUUCGGGGGUCCACGAGUGGCGCACGGGUGAGUAACACGUGAGUAACCUGCCCACAACUUUGGGAUAACGCUAGGAAACUGGUGCUAAUACUGGAUAUGUACUCCUGCUGCAUGGUGGGGGUUGGAAAGCUCCGGCGGUUGUGGAUGGACUCGCGGCCUAUCAGCUUGUUGGUGGGGUAGUGGCCUACCAAGGCGCCGACGGGUAGCCGGACUGAGAGGGUGACCGGCCACAUUGGGACUGAGAUAAGGCACAGACGCCUACGGGAGGCAGCAGUGGGGAAGAUUGCACAAUGGGCGCAAGCCUGAUGCAGAAACGCCGCGUGCGGGAGGACGGGCUUCGGGUUGGAAACCGCUUUCAGCAGGGACGAAGCUUUUUGUGACGGUACCUGCAGAAGAAGCACCGGCUAACUACGUG